rnacentral:lncRNA from 11 species
UAAAUAAACAAACAACCUCACGGGGAAUAAUGGCGGGGUUUUCUCUUUCAGAGAGGGAAAUUUCGUCCUCGGCUGCAGCAACUGGUGGCCACGAACUCCAGUGAAAUGGUAGAGGAGUGCACCAGAAAGGCCUUCCAACUCCUUCCCGACAUAUCAGGGGCUGUACAGGAACUCUGCAAGCUGAAGGCUGUGGGACCAGCCACGGCUUCAGCCAUCCUGACGGCAGGAGCCCCAGAGACAGCAGCAUUUAUGGCUGAUGAAGUCCUGGAGUCCAUCCCUGGCCUCAGCCCUGUCCAGUACACCCUCAAGCACUACUUGCUCUUCUUAGACAAAAUCCAGAAUUGUGCUGAAAAGUUAAACAAAGCCGACACAGAGAAAACGUGGACGCCUCAUAGUGUGGAGCUGUGCCUGUGGACGUGGGCCGUGGCAGACCGACUGCGGUUGCCCUCGCUGCAGUCUCUGAGCCUGGAAAAAAGCCUGGAAAAAGCAGAAGCGGUUCAUGAUGGUGGUGCGGAUGGUCCCAGAAAGAAGCAGAGAACGGAAUAAUAACACCCAGCCUGCCCAUAGGCUUUCACCCCUGUCCUCAAUUCCUCUGUGUACGGAUGUUGAAGCUAAAUUACACCCCGAGGUAGCACAUUUCUUCCAGAUCUAAGGAAUGGUGAGGAGAACUCGUACUAAUGUUAACUUAAGAUCAUACCCUGUUUCCCUGAAAAUAAGACAGUGUCUUAUAUUAAUUUUUGCUCCCAAACUUGCGCUAGGUCUUAUUUUCAGGGGAUGUCUUAUUUUUCCACAAAGACAAAUUCACAUUUAUGGUUGAAUUUUUAAAAAAUGAAAAUUUAUUAUCUACUGUACAGUAGUUGUCGUCACAAAUCAGCAUAACCAAACUGUGAAUCCUUUCAAGAAUUUCUAUAUUAUAUUUUAUUGCUAUACUGUUUUUAAAUUACUGUUUUAAAUUUCUGUUCGUAUGUAAAUUUAUGUUGUUGUUGGGCUUGUCCCUGUGUAAGCUGCCCUGAGUCCCUUCUGGGAGAUGGAGGGGGGAUACAAGAAUAAAGUUAUUAUUAUAUUAUUAUUAUUUCUUGUUACUACCUUUAUUUCCAUGUACAACAAUCUAUGGUAUGUACAUUUACCUAUCCUGCAUGCUUCCAAACAAAAACUUUACUAGGUCUUACUUUCAGGGGAGGCCUUAUAUCCAGCAAUUCCGCAAAACCUCUACUAGGUCUUAUUUUCUGGGAAUGUCUUAUUUUCAGGGAAACAGGGUAGUGCCUGCGAUACCUGUUUCAAGCAAGACUCGCCACGGCGCAACCUGGCAGAAUUGGUCUCGUUCUGGAGAGAUUUUAUUAGGAAUUUUUACCUUGGCGUUGAGUCCAUGUACAAAUAACUCUGGUUCUUGGCAAUUCUGUGAAAUGUGCCUGAUAUGAACAUUAAACAGCAGAAAGUAUCUUUCUCAAAACAGGAAGGCUGUAUCUUUCUUGUAGUUCAGUGAUACAAAACAGUCUUCCGUUCUACUCACAACAAAUUUUUCAAGGUACAAUAGAGUCUCACUUAUCCAACAUAAACAGGCCGGCAGAACGUUGGAUAAGCGAAUAUGUUGGAUAAUAAGAAGGGAUUCAGAAAAAGCCUAUUAAACAUCAAACUAGGUUAUCCAUAUAUAUAAAAGGGUAAUGAAAUUUCAUCCUAGGACAAAACAACAAAACUACACAUCCCAGAAACACUAAACUUGGCAGCACAACCCCUCAUCCAUGCCUCUACGUUCAUACAACAAAAAGCUCCAGCUACUCCAGAAAACGGCCAGGCUUUGAGACUGCAAGGCUAUUCACUGCUAUUCCACCUGGCCAACAAAGGAUUCCCAUAAGCCACAGCAACGCGUGGCCGGGCAAAGCUAGUGAUUUUAUAAAUUAAGCACCAAAACAUCAUGUUAUACAACAAAUUUGACAGAAAAAGUAGUUCAUUACACAUUAAUGCUACAUAGUAAUUACUGUAUUUACGAAUUUAGCACCAAAAUAUCUUGAUGUAUUGAAAACAUUGACUACAAAAAUGUGUUGGAUAAUCCAGAACGUUGGAUAAGCGAGUGUUGGAUAACUGAGACUCUACUGUAUCUCCAACAAAACAGCAACAACAGUAACGUUGACCUACCGGGAGGAACUGUUACAUUUGCUGUCCCCGUUUUAUACAAACAAAUAUCAACCAAUUAACUAUUACAUUACUGGAUUGCUGUGAGUUUUCCAGACUGUACGGCCAUGUUCCAGAAGCAUUCUCUCCUGUAUAACACAGCCAGGCAUUGAAGCUGCAAGGCUAUUCAGUGCAGUUCAACCAGACCAACAAAGGAUUAACCUUGGUAGA